rnacentral:misc_RNA from 1 species
GAUGAAGAACGCAGCGAAAUGCGAUAAGUAAUGUGAAUUGCAGAAUUCUGUGAAUCAUCGAAUCUUUGAACGCACAUUGCGCCCCCUGGUAUUCCGGGGGGCAUGCCUGUCCGAGCGUCAUUACAACCCUCAAGCUCAGCUUGGUGUUGGGCCCCGCCGCCCCGGCGGGCCCUAAAGUCAGUGGCGGUGCCGUCCGGCUCCGAGCGUAGUAAUUCUUCUCGCUCUGGAGGUCCGGUCGUGUGCUCGCCAGCAACCCCCAAUUUUUUUCAGGUUGACCUCGGAUCAGGUAGGGAUACCCGCUGAACUUAAGCAUAUCAAUAAGCGGAGGA